rnacentral:rRNA from 1 species
GAUGAACGCUGGCGGCGUGCCUAAUACAUGCGAGUCGAGCGAACAGACGAGGAGCUUGCUCCUCUGACGUUAGCGGCGGACGGGUGAGUAACACGUGGAUAACCUACCUAUAAGACUGGGAUAACUUCGGGAAACCGGAGCUAAUACCGGAUAAUAUAUUGAACCGCAUGGUUCAAUAGUGAAAGACGGUUUUGCUGUCACUUAUAGAUGGAUCCGCGCCGCAUUAGCUAGUUGGUAAGGUAACGGCUUACCAAGGCAACGAUGCGUAGCCGACCUGAGAGGGUGAUCGGCCACACUGGAACUGAGACACGGUCCAGACUCCUACGGGAGGCAGCAGUAGGGAAUCUUCCGCAAUGAGCGAAAGCCUGACGGAGCAACGCCGCGUGAGUGAUGAAGGUCUUCGGAUCGUAAAACUCUGUUAUUAGGGAAGAACAAAUGUGUAAGUAACUAUGCACGUCUUGACGGUACCUAAUCAGAAAGCCACGGCUAACUACGUG